rfam:Populus trichocarpa scaffold_368_contig_1, whole genome shotgun sequence.
UCUAGAACUCGAGAUAUGGGCUGAACACUGAACUGUGUCUGGGCUGCAGGACAGAUUCGGACUUCUCCGUUGUUGCUACAAUUUGGACUUGAAAACGGCCUUUUUACCCCACAUGAAAGUUUUAGGCCUAUGUCUUAGCUUUCCAUC